AGAUACUCUCUCUGCCGCUUGCCAUCGCUAAUAAACAGACCAAACUACCAAGAGCAAGCAAAGCGGCAAAAACCCAGAAAAGCACAAAGCAAAAACAGCAUAAACCCGAACACAAUCGCCCGAGUUCAGCCGAACCGGCUUCAGCUCAGCGCACAAACCCACGAACCCACGAAGCCCACAAAAACCCACAAACUAAAGACGCAGUCUUUUAUUCACAUUCUUCUCUUCGUUUGGAUUUGUGUGCAAAAAUGGCUCUGAAUGCCUGAGCUUUAGAUACCCAGAUGCAGAAGAAGAGGUGGAUAGCAUUGACCGCACUGAGGAAGGUGCUAACGUGCGCCAUAUGCUCAAUAGCGCUAGUGGCUCUCUUCUCUGUCCACGUACAUGUCUUCCCUUCUUCAAAGAUCCCUAACUUCUCUGACCCCUUCAAGCUCCCCACGGUGAUCCCCAAACCCAACCCCUCUCUGUUUUCUCUUCCUUUUUCUUUCUUCUCUUAUUUUCGGAAAAAGCAAAAGCAAAAAAUUCAAUUUCAUGAUCUUUUAAAUUCUUUUUCCUUUUGUUGUUGUUGAGAAUUUCUUUGUACCCUCUUCCACAAUCAGUGGGAUUUAGAUUUUGAUCAUCACUAUUUGUUUGUACUGCUGAAAAUGCUGUUGGGUUUGCUAAUUUUUUUUAAUAAAAAGGCUGUAGAUUUCAAUAAUCUUUUUUAUUAUCACCAUGUAUGUGUUUCUGGAUCUUUGACUCAAUAUCCGAGUGGUUUUUGUUUUUAGUUUCAUUUUGUUAUGUUUAUUGGGGAUUAGGUGUGGAUACUCAUUGACUACGAUUGACUUCCCAUAUGGGGAGUUUCUUUCAUAAGUGUUUUUGUUUCUUAAAAAGAAAAAGGAAAAUAAAGGCUGUUUUUUUUUUUGCCUUUUACAUUUUGUUUCUGGAAAAUAUUUUGUGGGUUGAUCUGAAUUCGUAUUGUAUGUUUUUACUGAUUUUGUAGCAACAUGAUAUUAAAUACCAGAAGUUGAGCGCUGAGCAAAGCUGGACACUGGAGCUCGCCCCGCCCCAUCUGUUGAAAGCACCUCUGCCUUCUCGCAAGGUUUUGUCUUUUGAUCAUAACUUAUAUAAUUGAUGAUUUCUUUAUGUGUUGCGUUUGAUGACUGAUAAUUGUGACAAAUGAGAAAAGAUAAAGAAGAACAGUUUUGAAUGUCUCAACUUCAAGUGGGAAUAAAAUACUAAGAAACAAGGAUAUAAUUUGUGUAUGCUGAUUUUUUGUUUUUUGGAGGGAAGAAAAUGCUCCAUAUCCCUUUAGUUAGGACUGAGGACUUAGUUCUGACUCUUAUAGAUUUAGAUACAUUUGUUCAUGUGAAAAAGUUAUGCAUCUUUCAUGUUUUCACUCCUUUAGACUUGACAGUUGGAUGGUUCAAGUGGGACUGUGGAAACUGACAAGCUAUGGAAGCCUCCACCAAAUCGAGAUUUUGUGCCAUGUGUAGAGCCAAGUCCCAAUUAUACAUGUAAGUUACUGAUUCAGCUUUAUUAUGUAGCCGAGGCACAUCCUUGGUGUUGCUAACAUCUAUUUUGCUGUUGUUUAUUCAGCUCCUACAGAGUCACGUGGUUACCUGCUAGUUCAUACAAAUGGUGGGCUCAACCAGAUGCGUGCUGGGGUCUGUAAACACUCCUUUCUUAUAUGUCUUGUUCUGUGAAAUAUAUGUUGAUUGAUUACUUCAUUGAAUAUUUCUUGCUAGAUAUUGAUCCUGUCAAAAUUUUGGUUUUGGAAACAGAAGUUCUUUUAUGUUGGUUUUCUCAUUGGUAGAUCAUAGGGGAAAGAGAACUUGGACAACAGCAGUCCUCUCUUUAUCCGUACUAAAUAAGGCACUUAAGCUCCUCUCCCAUUAUUUUUAUGCAGAAUAGAUAGUUGCAUUAAUUAAUUGACUGAUGCACUUAAGAUAGCUUUCUGUAAGUGCAUGUAGUAAAAAUAAAUAUGGAGUUCAUGGGUGCACACUUUUGACUUGGCUGAACAGAGGUGGACUUUUGUGAGGUUAUGUUUGUACCUAUGUAAUAUUUAGAUAAAGUGCAUGAUUUAACAGACAGAAAACCUUGAAACUGCCCAAUUUUUAGCGCUCCGGUGUAGCAGCAACGCUUUAUGUCACCAAUGUAUUUGCCUAACUGAUUGGUGUGUUUCAGUCCACACAAAGAAGCCAUAGAAUGUUUCGUUUGACUAUAUGUAUAUGAAAAGUUUAUCAUGAAUUAUCCAUUAUUUGAUGAAUAUCAUCAUCUUACUGUUGUAUGGAGCUAAAAUGUGUUGUCCUUGAAUUGUAGAUAUGUGACAUGGUAGCUGUAGCCCGUAUCAUAAAUGCCACUCUUGUAAUUCCGGAACUUGAUAAACGAUCAUUUUGGAAAGACUCUAGGUAGCACUGCGGUUUGUUUUACUUACUGAGUCAUUCUUUCUUUUUUCUUAGCUUUUAUGUCAGUGAUGCAAAAACUUGUUUCAUUUCUUUGUUACACAGCAACUUCUCAGAUGUUUUCGAUGAAGAUCAUUUUAUCAAUGCUCUAGCUAAUGAUGUCAAAAUUAUAACAAAGCUACCUAAGGAACUGGCCACUGGUACCAGAGCGGUUAAGCAUUUUAGAAGCUGGUCCGGUAUGGAUUAUUACCAAGAGGAGAUAGCUAGCCUCUGGGAAGAAUAUGAGGUGUGGUUUCUGGAACACUCUGGUUUAUGCAAUUUAUUUUAUAAGUUCUUUUUUGAAAAUCAUCUUGUUAAACACAUCAUUCUUUUCCUAAGGUUAUUCGAGCUGCCAAAUCUGAUUCUCGCUUGGCAAAUAACAACCUACCUCUAGAUAUACAGAAGCUUCGCUGUCGUGCUUGUUAUGAAGCUCUACGCUUUGCACCUCAAAUUGAAGCAAUGGGAAAAGUAAAUACUUAAUUCUAAACACUCAUUUGAUUUCUGUAGUGUCUAUGUAACUUUUUGUCAUGCUCUAUAACCAUUAUUAAAGUUUUUUCUUAUUUCAUUAAUGUUGUAGUUGUUAGUUGAUCGGAUGAGGUCCUUUGGUUCUUAUAUUGCUCUGCAUUUACGAUUUGAGGAGGACAUGCUUGCCUUUAGUGGAUGCACACAGGAUUUAUCUCCAGCUGAAGCUGAUGAACUAAGGAUCAUUCGGUAGGAAAUGCUGAUAUGGCGAGGAGUUCUGUUAUUUUAUUGAUAGUCCUUGCUUUUUUGAUGCCUGACUUUCUCAUUUGGAACUUGUAGAGAAAACACCUCAUACUGGAAAGAAAAGGAAAUUGAUCCCACAGAACGGAGAUCCAAAGGGUUUUGCCCCUUAACUCCAAAGGAGGUUGGGAUUUUUCUUAGCGCUCUUGGGUACCCAUCAAACACACCGAUAUAUAUUGCUGCUGGAAAGAUAUAUGGGGGCGAUUCUCAUAUGGCUGCUCUGCGAUCCCGUUAUCCAAUACUGAUGAGCAAGGUAUGGUUGAUGCUUAUGCUUGAUUUUCUUCAUUUUGUUGCGUAACUGAGCGACAAAUGGAAUAUUAUAAGAAUUUUGAAAUGUCCGUGGUUGGGCUUGAAGUGAACAUUGAACGACAUUCAAAUUUACAGAGAUUAUAGAUGGAAAAGUAUGAUGCACAAUAUUUAAUUGAAUAUUUUGACCACAUACAUUAUUAUAAUUUUAAUCUGAUAAUGGGCAGGCCAGAUUGGACCAAUUAAUCUCUUUGGAGCCAAAAUUACUUACAAUUAUAAUAUCCAACAUAAUAGCAUUCAUGUGCAUUUCACUGUGAUCUGGCUGUACAUUUUUAAUUAUUUAAUAAAAGCUGGGUACAAUGAAAGGAUUUUCUCUGGCUGUACAUCAUUAAGAAAAAAGACCACCAAAGUAGAAUUUAUCUAUAAAGUUGUGAGGACUUCAAGAUUAGGGUUUCUUGGGGUGAGCACUGGUAGCAUGUUAGUAUGAACCUGCUGAUAUAGCACUGAAGGUUAUCAAAGAUAAGACAGAUAUGAAUCGAGAGCCAUGUGGAUCAACAUGCACAACUCCUCAAUUUCUUUCAGAAAUGUAAAAAAUGACAUUAGAGCAGCAAUUCUCUUGGAUGAAGGUGGAAAUUUAACCUGCAAGUCAAUUAUGAGUGUCAAAGUUAUCUUUUCAAAAUUCACCGCCUUUCUUUUGGGUGUCAAUACCCGCAGGAACCUCAUUCUGAAAGAAACUGUGAUGGGUUGGUUGUUGCUGAGUGUUGUAAAAUCUUAAGUGAUCUUUUGCUUUGUGUUAUGCUUGUCAUUCAUUUAUAAGUAUGAGGCAUUUAAGUUAGUUUUGUUGACUGUGAUGGAUCUGUAUGACUGGGCUAACAGAUGAAGAAAGUGAGUGCUGUCAUUCUUCUGCUACUGUAUUUAGAUUUUGUUAUUUUCAAGGGGAAGAGGGUGAGAUAUCUUUACUUAAAAGUGUCAUGAGGACAAAGUCAGCAUAGAUUCAAAUAAUUAUUUGGAAAAUUGUGGAAGUACAAAUCAUCUGUCUAUUAGUCUAUGUAAUUCAUAUUUGCGAGGAAUGUUGAGGGUUACUAAAAAAAAAACCAUUUUGAUUUUUUAAUUCAUUUGUAUAUGCAUAGUUUCUGGGGAUGGAUGGGUUGCUAUAAUCCAAACAUAUGGAUUAAUUUGUCAAUACUGCUGUGAUGAUUUGUCCAUUUAUUGGUCUUAACUUUCAGGAAACAUUGGCAUCCGUUGAGGAGCUUGAACCUUUUACCAAUCAUGCAUCUCAAAUGGCUGCCCUUGACUACAUUGUUUCAGUUGAAAGUGAUGUAUUUAUACCCUCAUACUCCGGAAACAUGGCGAGGGCAGUUGAAGGCCAUCGUCGCUUUCUUGGACACAGGAAAACAAUAUCUCCUGACAGGCAAGCCGAUUUCAUUUUUGGAUAUAUGUAGAGUUGAAUUACUCCCGAUACCAUUCUAUGGUCAUAAAAUGCUGCAAACUGAAUCUGUUUUUAUGCUUUUGUGUGUUCAUCAGGAAAGCACUUGUUCGCCUGUUUGACAAACUUGAGCAUGGAACUCUGAAGGAUGGCAAAAAUUUAUCAAAUAGAGUUAUUGAAAUGCACAGGAAACGGUAUGUGAUUUCUCAAUUUCUCACCAAAAGCUUUGAAGUUCCAUGAGAAUCACUUUUAGCCCAACAUAUCUCAUUUCUGGCUAUUGUGUAACUGCAAAACAUCCACAACUUCUAGUUUUCUCAAAUUUAUUGUAUAAUUAACGGUCCUGCAAUGUGGUUACACAGGCAAGGCUCCCCGCGGAAGAGAAAAGGUCCUAUUUCAGGAACUAGGGGCACAGAAAGGUUUCGUUCAGAAGAACCCUUUUAUGUGAACCCUUUACCAGAUUGUUUGUGUAAAAAGGAAUUGCCAAUGCAAACAACUCUCUAAUCACCUCAGAUAUUUGCAAGAUUCUUCCUCUUGAAAAAGAUUCCUGUGCCGGAAGUGUGGUGACACUAAUCAUUCUUUGAAAUUUAUUCCGACUUUACAAGCUGGUGUUGCCAUUGUACGGAUAGGGACGCGGAGUUUGUAUAUCCUGAGUUUAGAUAGCUGCUGGUGGUGGUAUAUCGUAGUGUUGAAGAAGAGCAAAAUGCAAGAGUAUGCAGGUCAGGGAAUGAAUUGCCGGAGACAGGGCCUUCCAUUUAUGACCAAGGCAUGUGCUUUGCGAAGUUGGCCUGGUUUCCACUUUCUAGAAUUGGAUAAAAUGAUUCAUUGGGGAUACGAAAGUAGUUUAUUGUUUGUCUCGAAAGUAACAUGCUCUCUUCAUGUAUUCAUGGUCACUAGAUGCAAUAAAAGUGAAAGAAUUCCUUUGUUAUUUCUGUUAUCAUUUUCAUUCCUUUUUUUUUUCGUUUAUUGGCAGCCCAUCGCAAAACAUAUCUACAUUUCUUUCUGUCUUUUCUUUUCAUUCUCAUUUCUAAGAUCCGUGAUUCAGUAAUUUCUGACCGUUGAUGCAUUCAAAGUAC
rnacentral:lncRNA from 1 species